UACGAAGGGGGCUAGCGUUGUUCGGAAUUACUGGGCGUAAAGCGCGCGCAGGCGGCCUUUCAAGUCAGGGGUGAAAGCCCGGAGCUCAACUCCGGAAUUGCCUUUGAACCUGUCAGGCUCGAGUACGGGAGAGGUGAGUGGAAUUCCCAGUGUAGAGGUGAAAUUCGUAGAUAUUGGGAAGAACACCGGUGGCGAAGGCGGCUCACUGGCUCGUAUCUGACGCUCAGGCGCGAUAGCGUGGGGAUCAAACAGG
rnacentral:rRNA from 1 species